GACGCUGUCGGGAUGAGUAUGCCAAGGCCCCCCAACGAGAGACCACCACACAGGUGCUCCACACGAUUCCUAGGCUGGGAUUUAAGCCACUGAUGGCCAUGUGGGAUCUGGGCUCCUUUCCCAUCCAGUUACGGGGCCAGCCUUUGCCAUGGUUUGGGUAAUAGCUUGUCUCCCAAAGGCAGGGGGCACGACGAGGCAGGCAGAGUCCAUGUGGACACAGACCAGAGCCAGAGAAGCCUGUGGACGGCUGCGUGCACCGAGCUCUGCCCUCCCCCAUGUUGGAGUGUCACCAAAAGCUGGACCUGGAUUUCCAAAC